GCUUACGGCCACACCACCCUGAGCGCGCCUGAUCUCGUCUGAUCUCGGAAGCUAAGCAGGGUCGGGCCUGGUUAGUACUUGGAUGGGAGACCGCCUGGGAAUACCAGGUGCCGUAAGCU
ensembl:rRNA 5S_rRNA 5S ribosomal RNA